UUUGCAUUAGUCAGCAUUUUAUGGCAGGUUAUUUUAGUUUUUAUAUCAUUCCCCAGACUGGAAUUGUCAUGAUAAUAAGUGGAAAAGUCAACAAAGGGCAAAAGGUGAUCAUCAUUCACCCAUCAUCAGGAAAUCCGUGUCUGAUACGUCUUAUCGAUUUCGUAAAGACAAGCUAUUUUCGUCACAUUGUUGUACUCGUACGGGCAAGAGUCAUCAAACGGAAGGCUAAGACAUCUAUACAUCAAUAGCAGCUGGAGAUAGCACAGAUGCCCUCUUCUGCAUUAUUAUGACUUUCAAAAUACACAUUAACAACAUCGCUUGCCGUACAAAAGUAGUCGUAAAGCAGAAUUACGACUGUUUAAUGUUUUCUCAUUUUUGACUUCCUUGGGUGAUACUAAUACACUAUAACUGUAAUAUUUUUUAGAAACACGAGGAUGUAUUUAUUCUACGGAUUGUUUUGUACAAAAUGUC